GUUGGGGCCUUUCCGUUAAAUAGGGGCGAGUUGUAGGACUGGCAAUUAAUGCUUUUCCCGCGAAGUCCAUGACCGGAAGUGAAACGAAAGGAAACGCGUGGCGAUGAGAAGGAAAGAGAGUUUAUUAGGGUUCGCGUUCUUCUCUCCUCCGCUUUCUCCACCUCUCUUCUCCUCGUUGCGAUCUAGUCGCGAGGAACCGGGAGGGGAUCUCUCAAGAAGCUAAUGGCCUGGUCUCUCGCCCUUCAGAAAAAUCGGCAGGUGGCAGCAGCUUCACGGGUACCCAGGUCUAUACCCCCUAGGCGUUUCAUCCUGCCGCUCUCCUUUUAUUGGCCUUCUCCUAAUUUCAAGAUCGGAAGCUUUAAAUGCUUGGGAACCUGGUCUAGAUCAGGGCGCUGAAUUGAUGAGCGAGCAUGGGAUAAAUGUGCCAAAGGGAAUCGCUGCUUCAUCUGUUGAAGAGGCUAAAGAUGUUGCUCGAUCUGUUUUCCCAACGAGAAAGAGAUAUUGUGGUCAAAAGCCAAAUCCUUGCUGGUGGCAGAGGCUUGGGAGCCUUCAAAAGUGGACUCAAGGGUGGAGAAGGUAUUGUUAAGACUGAGGAGGUCACAGAUAUAACUGGCGAGGAAUGUCCUUUAUCGCUAUCUUUUAAUUGGCAGGCAUGCUAUAUUCAUCUAUCCACUACUAGUUUACCAUUAAAAGCAUGGAACCUUGUGUUACAUAAUCCAAGCCUACAAAAUGCAAUUCUAUUGUGCCCUAUCAGUUACUCUGUAAUGGACAUAAUCCAUGACAGAUUGCUAGAUAAAUAUAUUUGUUCUUUGCUUUGUGUAAAGAAAUGGAUAUCUGAUUGCAAAGUCACACUAGAGAUGUGGGGUAUGUUUGUUGUAUUGCUAAGACCUUAGAACACUACGCAUCAUAACAUGCUCCUACAGAGCAAAUCUUGAAUAGGUAUCAAGAGAUAAAUGUAUCAUAUUUUAAUGUGUAAUUUUGUUUUAUAUGGUUAGGAUGUUAAAAUAAUUUGUGUAACGCUUUUGAAUUGGAGAUAAGAGGUUGAGGCUGUAAGGAAGUUAAGAAUCACAAAGUGCUACUUUAUGUGCUUUGGGUUCUUAAGUAUAUAAUGGUACAGUACAUCCUUAAGAUCAUGUGCUGCUCUUCCAAGAUACAUUUUCAUUCGCAUUUGGCACAUUCUUUUAUUGUGGACCAUCUUUUUCUUCUGCAGGUUGCCGCUGCCAACGCCGAUCUCAGUUAUAUUGGUCUUGAUGGAGAAAUCGGGUGUAUGGUCAAUGGUGGAUUGGCAAUGACUAUGAUGGAUAUAAUACGACUGCAAGGUGGUACACCUGCUAAUUUACUUGAUGUUGGUGGCGAUGCAUUGGAAAGCCAGGUUGUACACAUUUCAUAUUCUAACACCCAAUGACAAAGUGGAGGCAAUUUUGGUCAACAUAUUUGGAGGGAUUAGAAAUGCAACUUGAUAGCAAGUGGAAUUGUCAAUGUACCCAAACAGAAAACUCUGUUACAUGCUAAAAUCUUCAUUAAGCUCCAAAGUCAUCUGAUUGGAGCCUCCGAUAGAUAUUCAUCUAGACAUGAAUCAACUCAGGUUAGAGCUUGACUGGACCCUUUUUUUUUUUGCUUUAUAUGGUAAUAGCAUAAUUCUUUACAAAGUUUUAGAAACAUUGUGAAUAAAUAAAUUCAUUGUCACACAAUUUUAUGAUUUUGGGGAUAUGAUUAAUAUAUGUCUGGUCGAGGGAUGGUUAACCCUGGGUGCAACAUUAAGCUCAUUUCUUUUACACUAGAUGAACUUAUAGGUGAAUAACUAGAAUUACUCAUCUUGGUUAUCCUGGUGUUAGAUUAGCAUUACUUACUAAUAUGUUAUUCAUUGUGAAGUGAAUAAUGGUUAAAAUUGUCAAAAAAUAAGGGAUAAAUCAUGUGAUGCCCUUAUCGUUAGCAUUCAUAAAUGAAGGAAUUUAUGCAGAGAACAAUUUCAAUGAAGAGGAAAUAUAAAGUGAUGCCCUUAAGAUUUUUGACAAGAUUCCAAGGGCAAUCAAUUUCUUUUUCAUGACAAGAUAACAGAGAUUUGUGAUGAAGUUGCAUAAAUCAUUUAAUGAUAGGCGGUAUAUGCGACCAAGGGAUACCAUCUUAGUUUUAGUGAGAUGGGUUAUGAUAAUAGAAGAAGUAAUAUCACUAGGAUUUUUGUUCUUGGUGGUGACCAAAUCAAGUAUGACAUAAUACUCCAAAACUGAGAAUGGAUAUGCUGUAAAUAUAGCUGAGGAGCUUAGGACCUACAACAGACGAAGAGAGGCUGAAAAGUAUAUUGGAUAGUAGAGAUACGUGAUUUUGUCUUCCAAUGAGCAGAGUUAUUUGAAAGAGUUUUGAAGGAUGUACCUAAAAUGCUGAAACAGUUUUGGAGGAUGAACAAAGAUGAGGCAAAGAUCUAUAUAAACAAGGGGAAAGACCAUGAGAAGCAAAACAUGUAAUGACAACAGAGGUUAUUGUUGAUAAGGCCAUCUCGAGUAAAGAUUACUGAGUUCAAACCAGAAGUAGGCACAAUGUGUAGCCUUAUAUUUUCAUUGUGUUUUUUCCUCUAUCUCAUUCCUCAAGUUUGACAAUGAGAGGAUUGAGAAAAGGAUUUCAUAAUGAGAGAUUAUAUUUUUAUUUAUUUUUAUCUAUUUUUUUAUUUUUAA